rnacentral:lncRNA from 10 species
GUCCCAUACAGCCACUAGUCUGCUUUCUGUCACUACAGUUUUUCAUUUUCUAGAAUUUCAUAUAAAUAGAAUCUAACAGUAUACAGUUUUUUAUGUCUGGCUCUUUUACUUAGCAUGAUGCCUUUGAGAUUAAUCUAUGUUGUUGCAUAUGCCAGUAGUUCAUUCCUUUUUGUUGCUGAAUAGUAUUCCAUUGUAUUGAUGUAGACAUUUGAGUUGUUUCCAGUUUUUGGUGAUUAUGAAUAAGGCUCACAUGAACAUUCAUGUACAAGUCUUUGUAUGAACAUACAGACAAUGACUCCAUUUAUCCCACAAGCAAUACAGGACAUGCCCACUUUACAUUUCCUCCCAUUCAAGCCAUUUUAAUAAAGAUUUACUAUUCCUUGUGCUAGACAUUGUAUAGGAAUACAGACACAGUUAAGCCCCAUGGAAAUUACAAUAUAGUGGGAGAAAUACAUGCACACAUGGGUCAUUCACAUGCAAAGCAGAUCACUGAGAUAGAGGAACCAACAACGAGGGGACAGGGAGAGAGCACACUGACUGAGGGGAUGGGGGAAAUCAGGAAGGAUUGCUUAUAGGAGGCAGAAGCAGUGUGAAUAAAGACCUGGAUGAAAGAAGGCAGGACUUGUUUGAGGGCUGAUAAAUACUCACGUUAAAUUCUAUCUCACUUGGGCAGCCAUCCCUGUAAAGCCAUCGUAAGUGCUUGUCCUCCUCAAAACUUCUGCAGUGUACUCUUCAUACUGCCAAUCAGCUUUCCUUGUCAAGAGAGGGAGUCUUUCAGCCUACUUUGCAAAUAAAGCUAUAUCCCUACAGGGUCUGAGCCCAAGAGCCAAGCAUUUGAUCCAAGGGUUGGUUGGUGGUAUCCUCAAAUGUGGCCCAAAGAGAGGCUAGGAUAUGGGAGAACAUGUCUACACUAAUUGGAAAGCCAGCCAAAGGGAGGAGCAGGUCCAGAGCAGGCAGGAGCAGUCCUCAACCUGGGCAGCUGGUGCACAUGUACACAGGUGUCUCUUCAAAUUCAUUGUCUAUGGCAAAGCGAUGUCAACUCCACAUGGAUGAAUGAAUGAACAUAUGUCACCAGUAGGCUCUCAUAUGUGUUCCAGUAUAUUGUACAUUCAAUCUGGAUCAAUCAGAUGUGCAGACACUUGAACAACCUACAGUUCUCUCUUGCUGUUUUCUGGUUAAGUGCUCAGCAGUCCACAUGAGGAUUCGUCUAAGAAAAUAAUUUCUUUGCAUUCUGAUGCUGUAAAGUAUUGCUUGGAUUAAAAGGGCAGGAACAAAUUGAUGGAUCUGAAAUUUUUUUUCUUUUGGCUUGGAGAUGACAGGGCAAUCCAUCAGACAACUUCCUUGGCUCCCUGUGACAUUUCAAGCUCAAAUGUUAUAGCUUUCUUAUUUUUUCUUUUCUCUCUUUUUUUUUCACCCCCAGCUCUCUAUUGAACUGUGCCUCCAGGAAAUGCAUCCUGUUGAUGUGAGUUCUAUGACACUUGUCAUACAGGAGGCACUCGGUAGAGGCUUGUGGAAUAAUGGUUGGGAGUACUCAGGUUAGCUUAGCAGGUUGUGCCAAAGAGGAGGUAACUGCUUAACCCACCUAUGAUGCUGCCUCCAUCUGUGCCCUAGAGCAUGCAGCAAAGAGUUCUUUCAAAAUAGAGCAGGCUCCAGACAAUGUUCAAGGAUGCAGCUGCCCACAGAAUGUGCUUUCAGCAUCUGGAUUAUAUGCAGAGAGAAAACACGAGAAGUCAGAAUGCUUGGCCCCUCACCUGGAUCUGCCACGAUGCAUAAUGUGAAUUUGGAAAUGCUAUUUAACUUCUCCAAGACAUAGCUUAUCAACCUUUGAGCCAGAGAAAAUAAUCCAGAGAUCUGCUGGGGGAUGGUGUGAGCCCAAAGAAGCCGAUUUCCUUCUUGAAGGGGGUGAGAAGAAGGGAGACUGUGACUUGACCAAGCCAAUCGGCAAACUACCUUCCCUCCCAACAGAAGUUGAUUUGUUCAGGAGGAGGCAUGUGACAAAAGCUGGGCCACUCAGAGCCCAUCUAAGGACUUCACUGAAAUGCUGACAUAAAGCAGCCACUUGUGCCACAGGGGGAAAGCCAGCCUCAAGUGAAACUGUCUCGCAAAGAAAUAGAGAUGAAUGACUUGUAGAGAACUGGAAACAAACAAAAUGAAACUUGCAGAGAAAAUAUUGCAAGUAAAUGUUGAACCUCUGGAUCGAACCAUGGCUGAGUCCCUCCUGGCUCUGACUUUUCAGUUAGGUGGGUCCACACAUUCUCUUUUUCGGCCAAGCCAUUUGAAUGGGAUUUUCUGCUCUUUGCAAAAUAAAGAUUUGCGAUGACUUAGAGAGGGGUUAAAGCCAUAUUUGAUCUGGACACAUGAGAGUACCUGAAGCCUGUCCUCACCCAGCUGUCUCUUCCCACUGGUCUUUGAGGCACAGGUCCUAAAGGAAUGCCCUGUCUCUCUUUCCCCCAGAUCUCCAAGAGGACCCUCCUGCCUCUGCUUCUCUUCCUCCCCUGAAGUCAAUUUUGCAGUGUGCUGGUCAGCCUCAUCCAGCCCCUCUUUUCUGGGAACUGCUCUAACUCUAUGGCUGGAUUGACUGGCCAAGAGACAGACACCAGGGUGAGCUGGAUCAUCAGACAGUCUCUCCUAGGAAUGUGAAAUACGAAUUCAGAGAGGCUGGCAGCCCAUUGUUCAUGGGAAUGCAGAAGCUAUGGGGCUGAGAAACCCCUUUCCAUCCAGACGGAAAGAAGGGUCCAGUUUCCUCUGAAGUUUGCAAGGACACAUGGAAGGUCAGCAGAAACUUGGCCAUCUCAGUGUCCUGGUGGGUGAUUUUUACGAGGAUUUCUCAUCACAGAGGAUGGGAACCCAAAGGAGAAUGGCCGCCAUUGGAGCCUUUCCUGUCCCUCCACUGCUCAAAACAACUGAACUCUGUGUCAGUUGGGCUGCAAGUAAAGAAAACUCAACUAAUGGAGGCCUCAUUGAACAGGAGUUCAUUUUACUCACGUAACAAACCUAUGUGGUCCCAGGAUUGUCUCACGGCCCAGUAAAGGCAAAGCAUGGCGUUAGCAAGUCUGAGAUGUUCUUGAAUUUCCCCCCAUUGCUGCAAGAUGGCCCCUACAGCUCCAAACAUCACAUCCUCAAUGGUGAAUAAAGCUGAUCUCCAACUGGGAAGAACCUCUGUCUCCUGGUGUGGUGAAGGCUGUUGGAGCAUCUGCAGGAGCAUCCAAACCCUGUGCUAUUGGGGUAGUCCAUGCCCUUCAAGCCAGUCAUGGCUUUCCUGUUUCCUCUGUCAAAUACUGGCUAAGGAUAGGUCUGUGAUGCAAUUCUGGCCAGUGAGACAUGAUGGAAGAGCUGCUGGGUGAAAUUCUGGGAAAAGUUCCCUUACUCUUUAGAAGAUGGAUCCAGGAGAAGAGAGUCUCUUUUGCUGAGUGUUGUCAUAUCUGGAGGUGAUGCCUGGAACUGUGGCAGCUGACUUGUGAUUAUGAGGGAAGCUGGCCUGAAAACAGACUGGCCCACUGAAGAGGAGGGCAGCAUGGAAUGUGGAAUAAACCUGGGUCCCUGUUGGCUUCCUGCGGCCCUGAUCUAACCAGCCCUGAGCUGUCCUACCUCUGCACUGCUUGGCACAGGAGACACAUCUUGAUUGUUUAAGCCCCUUUGAGUUGGGUUUUCUGUUCCUUGCAGCUGACAGCACUCUAACCAAUCCACACAUUUCCCUCUGCUCGAUUUCCUGCUCCAGAGAGACAGGCACAGACCAGUACCGGGCAGCCCCACUCUGGGGAAAAACAACAGUGCUUAUUGUUUGCCGGCACAGUGGGAGCUCUGCCUCCUGGCACAGUGGGAGCUCUGCCUCCUGUGGCAGGCUGGCCAUUCCAAAACCACACUGCCUGCCACUGCCAUAAAGAGGCCAGGACUGUGUUCAAAACCCCAGGCAGCAGGAGGAGUGGUUUGUGGGAGGUGUUGUGGUAGUGCAUAAAGGAAGGUCAUUUCCUGACCCUCAGAACCCACACUGCCCUCAGCCCCACACAGCCCUACCCAGCCCAGCAUCGCCCCCAGUGCCCCUGGAGACAAUAAUGGCAGCCACCCACUGGCUGCUCCUGUGCGGGCAGGGCAGGAAAGCUGGUGGUUAAGUGCUGGAGAACCCCCAGGCCCUGGGCUUGGCCGGAAAGGAUUUCUGUAGAGACAGCGUGGACAUUCUGUCCUCUGCAGGCCGCCUGGUACAGGAUGAAAACAGGCCGGCUCAGUACUUUUUUGGCAACCGAUUAUAUAGAUUUGCAUCCACAUGAGCUCCCUCUUGCAAUGAACCAGGCCCCCACAAGGGCUCUCCCCACAGUCAUUUGUGUUGAGAACGCUCUGAGCCCUUGAGCCUCCUUCCUCUCUGGGAAAGGGACUUGUUGGCAGUGAGAAGAACCUAGAGGGAGGCACUUCUGGAGGCAUUUCCUUUCUGGGAGGAAAUGCUCCAGGGCUCUCCUCCAUCCACCAACAGCCUCCAAGUUGAGUAAGUGGCAGCGAAGGUCACGCCUGAGCUGGCAGCCAUGGAACCUCACCUCCUGCUUUUCCAGCUUCGUUCCCAAAGACGUCCCUCCACGAGCUUGUGCUCAUGCCAUGCCUAUGCUGGAAGCCCUUGCUGUCUGCAGGUGGCGAUGUGACCCGGGCCUGGCCCUGGGGAUUUGUUCAGGCGUGUCACUCUUUCUGACCAAAGGGGACCAGCCUUGGGGCUUUUGUGGAAACCUCUGAGAAAGGGAGGUCCACAAUUCUGGUUUCCUAGCUGGAGAGAAUACGCCUGGCCCUGCUGGCAACCAUCUUUCCCACCCAAGGGAGUCAGCCUGGACAUUUUAGUCACUUGAGUCAAUAAAUUCUGUUUGCAAAGAAAAAAAAAAAUCGCUUUGAGCCGGGCUUUCUGUGGCUUACAGUGGAAACUCAUUAGUAAUAUAAAUGCAGAUAUCCCUCUUAGGCCAAAGUAAUCUCUCCUUUCUUGCUUGCUCUAUACCACACACACCUGCUUCAUUGGCAUUUACUGUUUCCCCACCUGCACGGGUGACCUUAGCCCCCCUGCACAAAGGCCUGGACGUCGCUGCCUCUGCAGCUGCCCCAGAUCCAGGUGCCGUUAAUUUUACCCUCAAGUUGCGCUAAACUACUCAGUGAAUUAUUGUUGGUCCAAUAAAACCACUUUUGUUUUAUUUAUUCUUUUGUCUCCACACUCACUCCCAUUCCCUUCCCCUGCAUGGGCAACAUGCUCCCCAUAGAUUCCCCCACCUCCUGUGCUGCUUUAAAAAUGCUCUUUCAAAAGAGAUACAGUCUUUAUGUGUUUUUUAAUGUCUGCAAAUGGUAAUGUUUGGGUUCCCAUGUUGCUUCUUCCUUUUUAAACUCAGCCCUGUGUUCAGGCCCAUCCAUGUGGCUAUGUGUGCCUUUCAUCUCUCCUUGUGGCUGCAUAAUUCUCCAUGGUGUGGACCAUUCCCAUUUUGUCUCUCCAUUCUCCCCAGGAUAGAAACCCUAGGGUGCCUCCCGCAGCCCCCAUCCCCAC